UCCUGGUGGCGAGUGGCGAUACGGGUGAGUAAUAUAUCGGAACGUGCCCAGUCGUGGGGGAUAACGCAGCGAAAGCUGUGCUAAUCACCGCAUACGAUCUAUGGAUGAAAGCGGGGGAUCGCAAGACCUCGCGCGAUUGGAGCGGCCGAUAUCAGAUUAGCUAGUUGGCGGGGUAAAAGCCCACCAAGGCGACGAUCUGUAGCUGGUCUGAGAGGAUGAUCAGCCACACUGGGACUGAGACACGGCCAGACUCCUACGGGAGGCAGCAGUGGGGAAUCUUGCACAAUGGGCGAAAGCCUGAUGCAGCAACGCCGCGUGCGGGAAGAAGGCCCUCGGGUUGUAAACCGCUUUCAGAAGGAACGAAACUGACGGUACUUUCAGCAAGAAGGUGCGGCCAACUACGUGCCAGCAGCCGCGGUGACACGUAGGCACCAAGCGUUGUCCGGAUUUAUUGGGCGUAAAGAGCUCGUAGGCGGUUCAGUAAGUCAGAUGUGAAAGCCCCGGGCUUAACCUGGGAACUGCGUUUGAAACUGGGAGACUUGAGUGUGGCAGAGGGGGGUGGAAUUCCACGUGUAGCAGUGAAAUGCGUAGAGAUGUGGCGGAACACCGAUGGGAAGGCAGCCCCUGGGCUGAAUUGACGCUCAGGCACGAAAGCGUGGGGAGCAAACAGGAUUAGAUACCUGGUAGUCAGCCCCUAACGAAUGUCUACUAGUU
rnacentral:rRNA from 1 species